AUCAAAGUGUCGAGCUUUUACUGUCCUUCGUUUUACCCCUCAGAGUGUGGGUUCUCUGCAAGCCCUUUUACAUCCACUUAUUUGACCCUCACAAUGGCACUUUGUGGGUGCAGAGCUGCAAAGAUGACUGCCUCAUUUUAUGGAGGAGGAAACUCAGGCCCAGAGAGGAAGAGGAGGAGUCACCUACACAAGGCCAACAUCAUGAAAGACAAAGAAAG
rnacentral:lncRNA from 1 species